CGUGGCUGCGGGACAGACACACCAGGGCCGCUGCAUGUGAGAAUGACACAGGUUGCCGUGUACCUGUGCUGUCGGCGCUGUCACCCCUCCUUCUGGGGGCUCCACCCCCACAUGUUCCGCUCACUGCAUGGAGCAAACUCAAGAAGGAGCCCCGGGUCUACGCCGAACAUGCGUGGGCAUCUUCCUGCCAUCAUCCCCAAGCGACACCGGGUUAGGCUCUCCCCAGAGCCUUCCUGUCAGCCUGAGUGCCACCAGGGAUGGGAAGGCCUUCCGGAUCUUUGCAGUCAGACAGUGGACGCUCAGCACGGGGACGAGGAUGUCUUCAGCAGGGACUUGGGGUUUUGAUUUUCCCUUUUUGUCAUUGUGGGGAGCAGGGUGGGGAAGCGGAGGGUCAGGGAACUUCCUUGGAAUGGUGUCAGCAUCGUGUCCCUUGUCGCUCUGUGGCAAGGUGACAUCUCAGGCUUCACCUGGGCGGCAGCAUUUGGCGUCUGUCAGACAACUGGCACCAGACCUGCCGGGCCUGGGUGUCCUUGCAGGGCCCCUCUCCUUCAGGGACCUGCCCGUCCCUUGGAGGGGACAGCCCCAAGAUGGCCCUCGCCCGUGUUCUCUCGGGAGUGGAGGGGCAGAUCCCACCCCCGAAAGAACACAGCAUGUGGAAGUCGCCAUUGCCAGGUGUUGGGGCCGGGUGGGUUUGGGGAACAGAGAGAGAGUAGUUAUUUAAAAAUGGAAAGCCACAGUCCAUCCCUGCUGGUGGAGAAGAGGGCUCCGCGUUUGCUGGUCAGACACUUGGCUGGAGGAGCUGCUGGGCCCCCGGCAAUGUCCACCCAUCCCGGCCAGGCCGCUUGGCAGGGCAGCCAUGGAGGCUGUGUACUCAGCAGUGCUGGUGCAGACUUUAGCAGCAACCCGAGGGUGCAUCCUGUCUCUGUCACUCCCUGCGUCCUAUGGCCUGUUUCCCUCUGUGAUCCUUGGUCUCAUUGAGGACUGAUGCAUCAGGGUCCCUUCCGUCCCCCAGCGUCGCUGCAUGGCCAGGGCCCUGUUUACAGGGCGCUCUGGCUCCCCCACCCCCGCGGGGUCUGGGGGUCCCAAGAAGGCAUCGGAGCACAGCCGAGAGGAUGGCGCCGGGCAGCUCCCCUCCCAGGCGGGGCCGACCUAGUUUUCCUCUAUGAGUGGAUGGAUCCCUGCUUAUUCCACUUAGGAAAGCGCGUCUGGUACAGCAGCAGCAGCAGCACAAGGGCAGGCGCUGGAAGGUUUCUUUUCCUGUCUCCGUGACCCAGCUCCUGACAGACCUUCCUGGGUCUCACUCUGGCCUCCGUCACUCAGUCUUCAGGAGCCAGGGCGGAGGUGCAGCAAAACGCAACUCCCUUUGGAAAUCGCCUCCCCGCAGAAAGUGAAAUUCCAGGCUGCGGCCUGAGCUGCACCAUCUGCUGAAUGCCAGCUUCAGGCUGAUGUCACUGUCAUCAGAAUGCGUCACGGGGAAGGACUGCAGCAGGAAACCAAGCAGGUUCAGCUGGCGCCUUUCUCUCUUGUUCAGUGGCCCUCAUCAGUGCAGACCCUGAUGGUCAAUCGCUUUUUAACCAUCAACCCUCCUUGGGGUUUUGCAGGCGAGCUGCUGGCCUGCCUGAGCUCAGUGUGCAGUUCAGGACCCCGAUGUCGGGGCAAAACGAUUUGGUUCCCGCUCAGGCGGGCAGCUCUUCUAGCACCGGACAUGCGGGAGGUUCUGCAUGGAGGGGUUGUGUGGCCGGACCCCGGCUUUGCCCCGGCGUCUGUGCCCCCGCCAGGAGCCCUGUUGAGUCCAGCAGGGUCCAAUGCUUGGUUCCAGAGCGCCCACCCCAGGCAAACCGGAAGUUCCAGCAUGGCCGGCCAUCACUUUAGAGGCCCCAGGUCUUCGGUGUCUCCUUAGCUGCCUUCUGCCUGGGAGGCUGGAGACAAAGCCAGGGCCAGAGCUGGAGGCCUUUUCCAUCCUUAUAACAUUUGGAGCCGGAACCACUGUUCUCCGGAAGUGAAGUAAGAGCGUGAAUGGUGAAUGUCUGUGGCCAGGGCCACCUCCGAUUCUGGGCUCUCACAGGGUCCCUCCUGUCCCCUCCCCAGGGAGGUCCUGGUUGGCUUCAGGUUUUGCCAUUGUGCUGGGAAGGGGUUUGGAUUCCUCAGUUACCUGUAGGCUCAGUCGGCCCGCAGUAUAUGUGUGUGCUUUUUUCUAUGAAAAAUGAUGUAUUUUACUACUUCUGUACAAAAGUUUAUUAUAAAUGUUUUUUGUGCUUUGCAAGAACAGGGCCAUGUGGGUGGUUGCUAUGGUUCAAUAAAACUGGUGUGAUUCCUCA
ensembl:lncRNA